UGAGGAAUAUUGGGCAAUGCCCGCAAGGGUGACCCAGCAACGCCGCGUGGAGGAUGAAUGUCGUAAGAUUGUAAACUCCUGUUAGAGGGGAAGAAUAGUACCGGUUGGACCGGUAUAUGACUGUACCCUCAGAGAAAGCCCCGGCUAACUACGUGCCAGCAGCCGCGGUAAUACGUAGGGGGCAAGCGUUGUCCGGAUUUACUGGGUGUAAAGGGCGCGCAGGCGGGAUAAAAAGUCAGUGGUGAAAUCCUACAGCUUAACUGUAGAACUGCCUUUGAUACUUUUAUUCUUGAGUUCGGGAGAGAGAGGCGGAAUUCCAGGUGGAGUGGUGAAAUACGUAGAUAUCUGGAAGAACACCAGUUGCGAAGGCGGUCUCUUGGUCCGACACUGACGCUGAGGCGCGAAAGCGUGGGGAGCAAACA
rnacentral:rRNA from 1 species